AUGCUCUCCUCUCCCUCCCCUACUAGUUUAAGACCCAGUGUGUGCACACUGAUUCAGAGCCUGCUAGUGAACGGCAGCCUCCCCUCAUCCGACAAGCCCUGUGUGCUUCUCCCGAGUCACCACCAGCCUGACCAGGCUCCCCUGGGAUCACAGAGAGCAGCUCACAUGCCUGUCGGCAUGAACACUGGGAAUUACUGUCACACCACCGACCGCUCGUUUGCCUGUGUCCUUCCCAGACCUUCAGCUGCAGGAGGACAGGGCCCACAGCUGCUCUCUGUUUUUAUCUGGCACCGAAGCGUGGUUAGGUGGUCAGCAGAAGGAGAGGGAAAAGGAUGGGCUCCAAAGUUACUCUGGUGCCCUGCUCUGUCUUCUGUCCUGCCCAGCCUGUGUUCUUACCGUAAGGUGUGCUUCCUGGAGAAGAGCCUGAGGAGGAACUCUGCCUCCUUGUGGGCUUCGGAUGUGCAGGGCACGAGGAGAAAGUAACGACUUCAGCGCAUCAAUGGCCUUGUCCUAAAACCAAAGACUUCACCCAGCAUCCACCGUGCCGGCUGCCCAUGGCCGCCUGCUGUGAUUUGGAAAAGGCACCCUCUGGGAAGCAGCGGAGAGGACUCUUCUUCUGUGCAAAGAGGACCAGAGAUGCUCUCUUCCCUAUGGCAAGCAGAGCCCCCUCCUCCACCACCUGUGGGGGCUGCAGAUCACACAGCCAACCGCUGUGGCUCCUCCCACCCCACCCCACCCCCUGAGCCCUGUGCCCACCUCGAGGGGACUCCAUCCGGCCACCAGCUGUACUUCCUUUCUGCCAUCGGCCCUCCCACGUGGUGUACAUCCAUUUCUGGCCCAUGUCUGCGCUCAACAGGCCUGGAGUUAGUUUACAGAUGACCAGGAGUGCAAAAUGGGCUUUAAAGUCCCGCAGUGUCAUCCUGGAAAGGAGGAGGGAACAGCACAGAGAGGCAAGUGAGAUGACUCCCAGUCCUGAGAACCAAGGACAUGCACUCCUUCCCAGACCACCCACACCCCCAGCUCCUGUGCAGAGCCAUGCUGGCCUUGCAGCCUGAGAAAGGGGCCUGCAGGAUCAGUGUGAGGCUCCUGGGCCGGAGGUGAAGCUCUGUGACCCUUUGGUGCAAGCACUCAGCACCAUUACCAACAGAGGAAAAUGGCACUGUUUCUUGGAUGGCAGGGACGAGAGCUGGAUUGGGGCAUCCACAACCAGUCCAUUAUAUCUAAAUGUUCAGUGGGAAUUGCACAAAUCAGUCCUCGAUCAUUAAUUGCCACACACUAACACUGUGAGCUGAGGCUGCUACAGCAGAAACUGUCAGGGGCUCAGAUUCCUUGUCCAGGAAGUGGAGAAAACAGGACUUGCAGGGCUCUUGAUCUCAAUGGAAGACCUUCAAAAGAGAGAGGGUCACAGAGGUGUGGGUAGGAACAGGGGGCAGAAAGCCAGGAACAAGGGCUGAGUGAUUAGGAAAGGAGAGAAGCAAGAGUAGAGGGGACAGAGGGGUUCUGUGAGACUCCGGGAGCAGCACCCCUCGGGCAGUCUUGGUGGCCUUUCCUAAAACGAGGUCAGCAGCUUGAGGUGGCAGGGAGUAGUGCUGCUCUCUUCUGUAGGACCUAGAUCUCUGUAGAGGGUUCUUUCCUUAUCACUUUCUCUUUUUUCAUUUUGUUUUUGUUUGUUUUUCAGCAUUAGGAAUUGAACCCAGGGCUUUCACACUGAGCUACAUCUCUAAUCUUUUUCUUUUUUUUUUUUUUGUGAUAGGGUCUCACUAACUCACUGUUACCCAGGCUGGGCUUGAAUUUGCCAUCCUCCUGCCUCAGCCUCCUAGAACUGGGAUUAUAGGCAUAUACCACCACACCCAGCUCCUCCUGUCUGUUUCAGAACAGGAAAGUCAAAGCCUUGGGUUGAGUGUAUUGAUCAAGUGAGCAGAUGGAGGCCAGAGAGGAGGAGGGGGAGGCUGGUGAGCCCAAGUCCUGUUUGAGCACCCACUGGGCUCAUUGCCCUUGGAACCCAGCCAUGCAGUGGUAUCUUCUCUGUUCCUAAAAAUGGCUCCAGCCUUUUCCACAAUGCAGGUGCAGAAUGCUAUGAUCUGCCCUGAUGUGACAUUGAGAGGCUGGCAGAACCACGCUCCAGGGAGCUCAGCAGCCCUGAGGAAUAAGAACAGGGCCAUGCAGACCCGAACUGUAAGGAAAAGUGCCUCUAACAGUUGCGGGAUCACCUACAAGUCCCUCCUGGGCCAACCUACAGAGUGCAGCUAUUCCACCAAGCUCUUAGGUGUGACCCAUCCAUCAGCCCUCUAUUCCCCCUUACCCUGGGCUGUUUCAGUUCCUUUGCUGCAGACUAACCAAGAAGACAGAUCUGAGUUUAUGCCCUGUUUCCUUCUCCAGUGGCCGUCAAUGAAAGCUCUUUCUUUUUCCAGAAACCCAGAGCCAUAGAAUUGGCUUCUGUUCAAGUCAGGCAGUUAGCUCCUGCUCAGCGUGGCCUGCGUCACAGAGAUGGUGACAGUCUGCUGACAGUGGCUGCUGACCCUGCAGGCUCCUUAAAGGGGUGGCAUCUUACUGACCCUGUACACGAGAUGCCCAGCAUACACGAGGCACCCGGUAAGUGUUUGCUGGAAGUAAGCCAGGGCCUCUGUCCCAAGUCCCCGAGUCAAAUACCAGAAUUCUCCAUCGUUAUCUUUCCGCAGAAGUAGAAUCUUCUCCUUGGGGCUCAGAAGCUCCCAUGUACUUGAGCUGAAAAACAGAAAUAUUUUAAUGGGGAAUGAAAAAGCUGUGGGAAGGCAUGCUAGGGAACCCAUAGCAGGGGUGGCGAACUUAUGGCGCUAGUGACAUAACAAGAUAUGCAGAGAGCCAAGUCACCCCAGCAGCCCAGCAUGAAAUAACCUUUAUUUUUUUCUCAACUAAAACCUCCCUAUUCAGGUUUAAUUGCAGUAUUGGCACUUUACGGUAAACAAAUGGGUUUUGGGUUGCAGUUUCAGCCGUUGGUCUCUAAAAGGUUCGCCAUCACUGCUCUGCAGUGUCAUUAUUUGGUGUUAUUUUCAUGCUGCUUUCAGGCAACUAAACCUUACAUUCUUCAUUAUAAAAGUACCAUGCAACAUGAAUGAAUCACUUACUCUGAGCCAAGUGCCAGGCCAGGCUCCUGACAUAUCUUAUUUCAUUUAAGGCUAACAACUUUGAAAGAUGGGGGGGUUAUUU
rnacentral:lncRNA from 1 species